rnacentral:rRNA from 1 species
GAUGAACGCUGGCGGCGUGCCUAAUACAUGCAAGUCGAGCGAACAGACGAGGAGCUUGCUCCUCUGACGUUAGCGGCGGACGGGUGAGUAACACGUGGAUAACCUACCUAUAAGACUGGGAUAACUUCGGGAAACCGGAGCUAAUACCGGAUAAUAUAUUGAACCGCAUGGUUCAAUAGUGAAAGACGGUUUUGCUGUCACUUAUAGAUGGAUCCGCGCCGCAUUAGCUAGUUGGUAAGGUAACGGCUUACCAAGGCGACGAUGCGUAGCCGACCUGAGAGGGUGAUCGGCCACACUGGAACUGAGACACGGUCCAGACUCCUACGGGAGGCAGCAGUAGGGAAUCUUCCGCAAUGGGCGAAAGAUUGACGGAGCAACGCCGCGUGAGUGAUGAAGGUCUUCGGAUCGUAAAACUCUGUUAUUAGGGAAGAACAAAUGUGUAAGUAACUAUGCACGUCUUGACGGUACCUAAUCAGAAAGCCACGGCUAACUACGUG